AUUGAACGCUGGCGGCAGGCCUAACACAUGCAAGUCGAACGAGUGGCGUACGUGUGAGUAAUGUCUGGGAAACUGCCUGAUGGAGGGGGAUAACUACUGGAAACGGUAGCUAAUACCGCAUACCUGCACCUGUGCCCAGAUGGGAUUAGCUUGUGGGUGGGGUAACGGCUCACCAAGGCCACGAUCCCUAGCUGGUCUGAGAGGAUGACCAGCCAAACUGGAACUGAGACACGGUCCAGACUCCUACGGGAGGCAGCAGUGGGGAAUAUUGCACAAUGGGCGCAAGCCUGAUGCAGCCAUGCCGCGUGUAUGAAGAAGGCUUUCGGGUUGUAAAACACUUUAAGCGGGGAGGCGUUACCCAACCAGGAAGCACCGGCUAACUACGUGCCAGCAGCCGCGGUAAUUC
rnacentral:rRNA from 1 species